UGAACGCUGGCGGCGUGCCUACUACAUGCAAGUCGAGCGAACAGACGAGGAGCUUGCUCCUUUGACGUUAGCGGCGGACGGGUGAGUAACACGUGGAUAACCUACCUAUAAGACUGGGAUAACUUCGGGAAACCGGAGCUAAUACCGGAUAACAUGUUGAACCGCAUGGUUCAACAGUGAAAGGCGGUCUUGCUGUCACUUAUAGAUGGAUCCGCGCCGCAUUAGCUAGUUGGUAAGGUAACGGCUUACCAAGGCAACGAUGCGUAGCCGACCUGAGAGGGUGAUCGGCCACACUGGAACUGAGACACGGUCCAGACUCCUACGGGAGGCAGCAGUAGGGAAUCUUCCGCAAUGGGCGAAAGCCUGACGGAGCAACGCCGCGUGAGUGAAGAAGGUCUUCGGAUCGUAAAACUCUGUUAUUAGGGAAGAACAAAUGUGUAAGUAACUAUGCACGUCUUGACGGUACCUAAUCAGAAAGCCACGGCUAACUACGUG
rnacentral:rRNA from 1 species